UACGAAGGGUGCAAGCGUUACUCGGAAUUACUGGGCGUAAAGCGUGCGUAGGCGGUUUGUUAAGUCUGUCGUGAAAGCCCUGGGCUCAACCUGGGAAUUGCGAUGGAUACUGGCAAGCUAGAGUACGGUAGAGGAUGGUGGAAUUCCCGGUGUAGCGGUGAAAUGCGUAGAUAUCUGGAGGAACACCGGUGGCGAAGGCGGCAUCCUGGACCAAUUCUGACGCUGAGGAGCGAAAGCCAGGGGAGCAAACGGG
rnacentral:rRNA from 1 species